rnacentral:rRNA from 1 species
UCAUCUUCGGGGGUAGAGCACUGUUUCGGCUAGGGGGUCAUCCCGACUUACCAACCCGAUGCAAACUACGAAUACCGAAGAAUGUUAUCACGGGAGACACACGGCGGGUGCUAACGUCCGUCGUGAAGAGGGAAACAACCCAGACCGCCAGCUAAGGUCCCAAAGUCAUGGUUAAGUGGGAAACGAUGUGGGAAGGCACAGACAGCCAGGAUGUUGGCUUAGAAGCAGCCAUCAUUUAAAGAAAGCGUAAUAGCUCACUGGUCGAGUCGGCCUGCGCGGAAGAUGUAACGGGGCUAAACCAUGCACCGAAGCUGCGGCAGCGACACUAUGUGUUGUUGGGUAGGGGAGCGUUCUGUAAGCCUGCGAAGGUGACCUGUGAGGGUUGCUGGAGGUAUCAGAAGUGCGAAUGCUGACAUAAGUAACGAUAAAGCGGGUGAAAAGCCCGCUCGCCGGAAGACCAAGGGUUCCUGUCCAACGUUAAUCGGGGCAGGGUGAGUCGACCCCUAAGGCGAGGCCGAAAGGCGUAGUCGAUGGGAAACAGGUUAAUAUUCCUGUACUUGGUGUUACUGCGAAGGGGGGACGGAGAAGGCUAUGUUAGCCGGGCGACGGUUGUCCCGGUUUAAGCAUGUAGGCUGGUUGUCCAGGCAAAUCCGGAUAAUCAAGGCUGAGGUGUGAUGACGAGGCACUACGGUGCUGAAGUAACAAAUGCCCUGCUUCCAGGAAAAGCCUCUAAGCAUCAGGUAACAUCAAAUCGUACCCCAAACCGACACAGGUGGUCAGGUAGAGAAUACCAAGGCGCUUGAGAGAACUCGGGUGAAGGAACUAGGCAAAAUGGUGCCGUAACUUCGGGAGAAGGCACGCUGGUGUGUAGGUGAAGUCCCUGCGGAUGGAGCUGAGACCAGUCGAAGAUACCAGCUGGCUGCAACUGUUUAUUAAAAACACAGCACUGUGCAAACACGAAAGUGGACGUAUACGGUGUGACGCCUGCCCGGUGCCGGAAGGUUAAUUGAUGGGGUUAUCCGUAAGGAGAAGCUCUUGAUCGAAGCCCCGGUAAACGGCGGCCGUAACUAUAACGGUCCUAAGGUAGCGAAAUUCCUUGUCGGGUAAGUUCCGACCUGCACGAAUGGCGUAAUGAUGGCCAGGCUGUCUCCACCCGAGACUCAGUGAAAUUGAACUCGCUGUGAAGAUGCAGUGUACCCGCGGCAAGACGGAAAGACCCCGUGAACCUUUACUAUAGCUUGACACUGAACAUUGAGCCUUGAUGUGUAGGAUAGGUGGGAGGCUUUGAAGCGUGGACGCCAGUCUGCGUGGAGCCAACCUUGAAAUACCACCCUUUAAUGUUUGAUGUUCUAACGUUGGCCCCUGACCGGGGUUGCGGACAGUGUCUGGUGGGUAGUUUGACUGGGGCGGUCUCCUCCCAAAGCGUAACGGAGGAGCACGAAGGUUAGCUAAUCCUGGUCGGACAUCAGGAGGUUAGUGCAAUGGCAUAAGCUAGCUUGACUGCGAGCGUGACGGCGCGAGCAGGUGCGAAAGCAGGUCAUAGUGAUCCGGUGGUUCUGAAUGGAAGGGCCAUCGCUCAACGGAUAAAAGGUACUCCGGGGAUAACAGGCUGAUACCGCCCAAGAGUUCAUAUCGACGGCGGUGUUUGGCACCUCGAUGUCGGCUCAUCACAUCCUGGGGCUGAAGUAGGUCCCAAGGGUAUGGCUGUUCGCCAUUUAAAGUGGUACGCGAGCUGGGUUUAGAACGUCGUGAGACAGUUCGGUCCCUAUCUGCCGUGGGCGCUGGAGAAUUGAGGGGGGCUGCUCCUAGUACGAGAGGACCGGAGUGGACGCAUCACUGGUGUUCGGGUUGUCAUGCCAAUGGCACUGCCCGGUAGCUAAAUGCGGAAGAGAUAAGUGCUGAAAGCAUCUAAGCACGAAACUUGCCCCGAGAUGAGUUCUCCCUGAGACUUUAAGUCUCCUGAAGGAACGUU